AUACGGAGGGUGCAAGCGUUAUCCGGAUUUAUUGGGUUUAAAGGGUGCGCAGGCGGAUAAUUAAGUCAGUGGUGAAAUCCUCCCGCUCAACGGGAGAACUGCCAUUGAUACUGAUAAUCUCGAAUACGGUUGAAGUGGGCGGAAUGUAGCAUGUAGCGGUGAAAUGUAUAGAGAUGCUACAGAACACCGAUCGCGAAGGCAGCUCACUAAGCCGAUAUUGACGCUCAGGCACGAAAGCGUGGGUAGCGAACAGGAUUAGAAACCCCGGUAGUCC
rnacentral:rRNA from 1 species